CCUACGGGGGGCUGCAGUGAGGAAUCUUGGUCAAUGGGCGCAAUGCCUGAACCAGCCAAUUAGCGUGAAGGAAGACUGCCCUUUGGGUUGUAAACUUCUUUUAUAAGGGAAUAACGAUGACAACGUGCUUGUCAUUUGCAUGUACCUUAUGAAUAAGGAUCGGCUAACUCCGUGCCAGCAGCCGCGGUAAUACGGAGGAUCCAAGCGUUAUCCGGAUUUAUUGGGUUUAAAGGGUGCGCAGGCGGGAAAGGAAGUCAGCUGUGAAAUUUUAUGGCUCAACCAUAAACUUGCAGUUGAAACUCUUUUUCUUGAGUACACAUGAGGUGGGCGGAAUUUGUGGUGUAGCGGUGAAAUGCAUAGAUAUCACAAGGAACUCCGAUUGCGAAGGCAGCUCACUGGGGUGUAACUGACGCUCAUGCACGAAGGUGUGGGUAUCAAACAGGAUUAGAUACCCUUGUAGUC
rnacentral:rRNA from 1 species